rnacentral:rRNA from 1 species
UGAACGCUAGCUACAGGCUUAACACAUGCAAGUCGAGGGGCAGCAUUGGAGUAGCAAUACUCAGAUGGCGACCGGCGCACGGGUGAGUAACACGUAUCCAACCUGCCGCUUACUCGGGGAUAGCCUUUCGAAAGAAAGAUUAAUACCCGAUGGUAUAAAGAGUUCGCAUGUUCUCUUUAUUAAAGAAUUUCGGUAAGCGAUGGGGAUGCGUUCCAUUAGAUUGUUGGCGGGGUAACGGCCCACCAAGUCUACGAUGGAUAGGGGUUCUGAGAGGAAGGUCCCCCACAUUGGAACUGAGACACGGUCCAAACUCCUACGGGAGGCAGCAGUGAGGAAUAUUGGUCAAUGGGCGAGAGCCUGAACCAGCCAAGGUAAGCGUGAAGGAUGACUGCCCUAUGGGUUGUAAACUUCUUUUAUAAGGGAAUAAAGUGAGGGACGUGUCCCUUUUUGUAUGUACCUUAUGAAUAAGGAUCGGCUAACUCCGUGCCAGCAGCUGC